rnacentral:rRNA from 1 species
GGAAUAUUGCACAAUGGGCGCAAGCCUGAUGCAGCCAUGCCGCGUGUAUGAAGAAGGCCUUCGGGUUGUAAAGUACUUUCAGCGGGGAGGAAGGCGAUGCGGUUAAGAACCGCGUCGAUGGACGUUACCCGAAGAAGAAGCACCGGCUAACUCCGCGCCAGCAGCCGCGGUAAUACGGAGGGUGCAAGCGUUAAUCGGAAUUACUGGGCGUAAAGCGCACGCAGGCGGUCUGUCAAGUCGGAUGUGAAAUCCCCGGGCUCAACCUGGGAACUGCAUCCGAAACUGGCAGGCUUGAGUCUCGUAGAGGGGGGUAGAAUUCCAGGUGUAGCGGUGAAAUGCGUAGAGAUCCGGAGGAAUACCGGUGGCGAAGGCGGCCCCCUGGACGAAGACUGACGCUCAGGUGCGAAAGCGUGAGGAGCA